rnacentral:rRNA from 1 species
GAUGAACGCUGGCGGCGUGCCUAACACAUGCAAGUCGAACGGGGAGUAGCAAUAUUCUUAGUGGCGAACGGGUGAGUAACGCGUUGGUACCUGCCCCGAAGCGGGGGAUAACGUACCGAAAGGUCUGCUAAUACCCCAUGCGCUCGGUAACGAGUAAAGGUGAAAACCACUUUGGGAGGGGCCUGGGUCCCCUCAGCUAGUUGGUAAGGUAACGGCUUACCAUGGCGAUGACGGGUAGGGGACCUGAGAGGGUGGCCCCCCACAAUGGAACUGAAGCACGGUCCAGACACCUACGGGUGGCAGCGGUAGGGAGUAUUAGUAAUGGGCGCAAGCCUGAGCCAGCAACGCCGCGUGUGCGAAGACGGCCUUCGGGUUGUAAAGCACUUUUGACUGGGACGGGGAAGGACGGUACCGGUCGAAUAAGCCUCGGCUAACUCCGUG